rnacentral:lncRNA from 1 species
UUACAUCUACAACUGAAUUUCCCUCUGUUUUAGCAUGAAUGAGUGCGGCCACAGUCAAAUACAAAUGCUCUCCUCCUUCAUAUGCGCUAGUAAAAUGCAAGCAUUUCUAGAAGAAGGGUAAUACUGCCCAAGAGAUCUCUUCCAAUUAGCUACAACUUUGAGAGCUUGGAUUAGGAUUCGUAUCUUUGCAAAAGGUUUCUCUAAGUUUCUGUUCGUCUCUUCUAGAACUUUUACUGAAAGCUGUCUGUUUGUCUUUCCUAAGCAAGGAAGAUGUUUUUUUUUCCUAGAAAGGUAUAUUCAUUUCGCCAAUGAUCUUUUCCGCAAUCCUUUUGCAAUGUUGUGUGUGUCUGUGUGUGUGUAUAUAUAUAUAUAUAUAUUGCAUAACCUGUAUACAGCUGUGCCUGCAAUGAGAAAUUUCGAAUUUGUGCACAUCCAACAGAUCGAGAAAAAUAUUUUACCUAAGCUUUUCUUCUAUCCUCGGUCGUCAUUUAUUACUAUGUGCAAAUCCAGAUCUACCAAAAGACAGACUGCAUUUAUUGAUAAACGUGUCUUUCGUAGUUUAAACUGUCUGAUUAUGACAUGCAUAUUAAUGAAUUUCUCAAAUUUGCAGGUAGUUUUUUUUAUACAUAUCAGGGUUGAUAACAGCCGCUGCAUUAUUGAUCACUGCAUUUUCUACACCCUUGCUUCCAUUAUGAGCAGCUUGAUCUAGAGAAAUCUUGAUUUAUUUCUAUGCAAUCGGAGCUCGUCGAUUUCCCUGUCCUUAUAUCUUAUUUACAUCUAUGCAACUCAAAUUAAACGUACUCCCCAUUUCUCCAAGCUCUGUGGUUACUGGGUCUUUUGUAGACCAUAGGCAACGUUUUCAACUCUUGCUCAAACAGCUGGCCAGAGAUUGGUUCAAUAUGCCCUCGAGAAGUCAACAGCACUUAUAUUCAUGGAAGGUAGCUAAUUACAUCUUAAAUAUGGUUUAGUAAUGAGCUUAAUUAUAUAACUUUGUUUUUGUUUUUAUUUUGUUUUUCCUUUUCUUCACUGAGCCAAGGGUCGACUGGAAACAGUCUCUCUACCCUUUCGGGUAGGGAUAAGGCUCGUCUACAUAUUACCAUCCCCAGACCCCACUUUGUGGGACUAUACUGGAUAGUUGUUGUAUAUAACUUUGUUUUUUUGUUAUCUUCAGAACAGGACAUUGUUAUUGGGAUUAGAACUUAGUAAGUGUCCUGUAAGUUUGGUAUAAUAUUUAAACAUUUCGAUCUAGUAUUUUUAGUAUUAAAUUUCUUAAAU